rnacentral:rRNA from 1 species
AGAGUUUGAUCCUGGCUCAGAACGAACGCUGGCGGCACGCCUAACACAUGCAAGUCGAGCGCUACCUUCGGGUGGAGCGGCGGACGGGUUAGUAACGCGUGGGAACGUACCCUUCUCUACGGAAUAGCCAUUGGAAACGAUGAGUAAUACCGUAUACGCCCUUAGGGGGAAAGAUUUAUCGGAGAAGGAUCGGCCCGCGUUAGAUUAGAUAGUUGGUGGGGUAAUGGCCUACCAAGUCUACGAUCUAUAGCUGGUUUUAGAGGAUGAUCAGCAACACUGGGACUGAGACACGGCCCAGACUCCUACGGGAGGCAGCAGUGGGGAAUCUUAGACAAUGGGCGCAAGCCUGAUCUAGCCAUGCCGCGUGUGUGAUGAAGGCCUUAGGGUCGUAAAGCACUUUCGCCAGAGAUGAUAAUGACAGUAUCUGGUAAAGAAACCCCGGCUAACUCCGUGCCAGCAGCCGCGGUAAUACGGAGGGGGUUAGCGUUGUUCGGAAUUACUGGGCGUAAAGCGUACGUAGGCGGACCAUUAAGUUAGGGGUGAAAUCCCGGGGCUCAACCCCGGAACUGCCUCUAAAACUGCUGGUCUUGAGUUCGAGAGAGGUGAGUGGAAUUCCGAGUGUAGAGGUGAAAUUCGUAGAUAUUCGGAGGAACACCAGUGGCGAAGGCGGCUCACUGGCUCGAUACUGACGCUGAGGUACGAAAGUGUGGGGAGCAAACAGGAUUAGAUACCCUGGUAGUCCACACCGUAAACGAUGAAUGCCAGUCGUCGGGUAGCAUGCUAUUCGGUGACACACCUAACGGAUUAAGCAUUCCGCCUGGGGAGUACGGUCGCAAGAUUAAAACUCAAAGGAAUUGACGGGGGCCCGCACAAGCGGUGGAGCAUGUGGUUUAAUUCGAUGCAACGCGAAGAACCUUACCAACCCUUGACAUACUUGUCGCGGAUCGUAGAGAUACUUUCCUUCAGUUCGGCUGGACAAGAUACAGGUGCUGCAUGGCUGUCGUCAGCUCGUGUCGUGAGAUGUUCGGUUAAGUCCGGCAACGAGCGCAACCCACAUCCUUAGUUGCCAGCAGUUCGGCUGGGCACUCUAGGGAAACUGCCCGUGAUAAGCCGGAGGAAGGUGUGGAUGACGUCAAGUCCUCAUGGCCCUUACGGGUUGGGCUACACACGUGCUACAAUGGCAUCUACAGUGAGUUAAUCUCCAAAAGAUGUCUCAGUUCGGAUUGGGGUCUGCAACUCGACCCCAUGAAGUCGGAAUCGCUAGUAAUCGCGUAACAGCAUGACGCGGUGAAUACGUUCCCGGGCCUUGUACACACCGCCCGUCACACCAUGGGAGUUGGUUCUACCCGACGACGCUGCGCUAACCUUCGGGGGGCAGGCGGCCACGGUAGGAUCAGCGACUGGGGUGAAGUCGUAACAAGGUAACC